rnacentral:lncRNA from 1 species
CCCUAAGCAACUCAGCGAGACCCUGUCUCUAAAUAAAAUAUAGAUAAGGGCUGGAGAUGUGGCUCAGUGGGUAAGCGCUCCUGGGUUCAAUCCCCAGUUUAAAAAAAAAAAAAGAUAAUGACUAAAUGGAAACAACCCCAUUGUCACAAAAUGAAAUAAACAUACAAGGCAUUUUAAAUGAGUGACUGCAUUAGGUGGAUCAGUAGAGGAAGAUCCAAAAGCCAUUAUGUGGGGUGAAUCACAGGACAUUGCUGAAGGCUGCCCGCAACACACCGUUUGAAUAAAUUUCCCAAACAUGCAAAGUGCUCCUUUUAUUGCUCAUGUACAGCAUGUAGAGUCAAAGUCCAAAAACGUGUCUGGUUAUAAUGACAAUCACCAGACCUUGACAGUGGUCGCCUCUGAGCUGAGUGGCAGGGGUGACGGGAUAGAGUGGGGACAGGGGCUUCCAUUCUGUGUCACAUAUCAUUUCUCAUUUAGACAAACAAAAAUAAACCCAAAGAAAGUGUGACCCUCCAGGAGGAUUUGACAGAACUGAGUGGCGGGUAUAUCAACGUUCACACUAAAAUCAACCAUCUUCCAGAUUACCAGCAACAUACAAUUCAGUAAUCUUAUGAUUUUAAAUAUCUAGACAACCUAAAAAAAAAAAAAACGGGAAAAUAUGGAAGAGAAAACAUUUCUCUGUUUGGGGCAGGGAGAGCUUUAUCAGGAGUUAAUGUUUUGGACUGUGGGGAAGGAGGGUUUGGGGGGCGGCUCUCCUGCAUUGACCAAGGCCUGGUCAUGAGUUCCUGGCUCUGAAAAGUUCUAUGUCAGAAAGGUUCUG